CAUCCAAACACAAACAAUCACUGUGUGCAGAUGGGGUUUCAGGCCACAUUGCCAAGUGUUGGGAAAUGAAAACACACAGAGGCCAAGGGAGCUGAGGUCUCAGGGCCAACCUGAGUUCCCAGAAGCAGAGCAAGACGGGAGCUCCGCGGCCAGGCAGAUGACUGGAGAGUCAUGAAGAGCCAGCUCAAGCUUUGGUUUAGAAUUGUGGUGAGGGGCCAAGAUGUGGAGCAGAUGGGACUGGUCAAGUGAGAAGAGCAAGGGACACUCCUCAAAGCACUGCAGAAAAAGACAUUUGAAGUUGGGCCUGUGCAGAAGAGAGCUGGCAGGGGCCAAGUGUGACACAAACAUGGGCCCAGCCCCUUCUCAGUAGCAAAACAUCAGCUUCUUCAGGCUGAGACUUGUCUGGCUGGUUUGCUGUUGGCAUCUAGAGCCUGGAAGAUAACAAGUGCUCAACACAUCAUGGCUGAAGUUUGCUGUUAUUAUCUUUGUUUUAUAGAUAAGACAAUUGAGACUCAGAGCUAAGUUCACCAGCUGGAGACUGGCCUGUUCAGAUGGCUCCAUGGUGUGUCGAUGUGUCCUGUCAGCAACUUGGUGUGUCCUGUUCAGCUGACACCCAGGACUUUCUCUCUGGCGUCUGAGGCAGAUGGCCACAGGACAGGCAAAGCAUGCUCUUUACCACUGAGCCAGGGGCCUAUCAGGCUUCACUCUUCCUGCAGCUGACAGAGCUCCAGCCUGCCUCUUGGCUACAUUCUGGCCACGGCUGCUCGACUUGGUAAUCUUUUAGGAGAGUUUGUGAGGUUGAAUGCAAAUUGAGAACUCUCACCUUGGUUUCUCAAGAAUAAAGGGUGAACUGGGUGAGGUGGCACACGCCUGUAAUCCCAGUGGCUUGGGAGGCUGAGGCAGAAGGAUUGUGUGUUCAAAGCCAGCCUCAGCAAAAGUGAGGUGCUAGGCAACUCAGUGAGACCCCAUCUCCAAGUCAAAUACACACACAUACAUACACACACACACACGGCUGGGGAUGUGCCUCAGUGGUUGAGUGCUCCUGGGUUCAUACCUCUAUACUUAAAAAAAAAUAGACUAAGCUGUCAACUGCAGACAGUACGUGUUGACAAUCAUAGCACUCUGGCUUUCUAGUGGAAUGACAGUUUUUGGAAAACCUAUUUACCUUUGUAAACCUGAUGGCUUCCCAAUACUUAAGAACUUUUCUGAUGAGAAUGAUAGUGAUAUUACUGAAUGUGACUUUUUUUUUGAUACUACUUAAUGAAACAUGUCAAUGUCUGGAAGAUUUGCAUAACUCUGUGGACUAAUAUUUCCCAAACGAUUAAUGAAUGAUGCCUUGAAAGCAUGCAUAGGUAAAAGAUCUAUUCAAAAUGCAAAAUAUACCAGUGAAUUUAUGGAACAGUAUAUAAAAAGCUCAUUGGGAUUCAACAUUGUAAAGACCCUUUAGGAAACUACUAUUGUUGGAGUUUUGAUAUAGUAGCAAAGAAGAGUACCUAAAAUUAAAAUGCGUUAUUAAUCUUUCUUUCUCUUCUAUACAUCUUUAUUAUACUUCAGUCAAAACAAUAUAAUAGCAUGCAGAUGCCAAUGUGAGAAUCCAACUGUCUUUCAUCAAACCAGACAUGAA